CGAUGCAACGCGAAAACCUUACCUACCCUUGACAUGUCUGGAACCUUGGUGAGAGCCGAGGGUGCCUUCGGGAGCCAGAACACAGGUGCUGCAUGGCUGUCGUCAGCUCGUGUCGUGAGAUGUUGGGUUAAGUCCCGCAACGAGCGCAACCCUUGUCACUAGUUGCCAUCAUUUAGUUGGGCACUCUAGUGAGACUGCCGGUGACAAACCGGAGGAAGGUGGGGAUGACGUCAAGUCCUCAUGGCCCUUAUGGGUAGGGCUUCACACGUCAUACAAUGGUCGGUACAGAGGGUUGCCAAGCCGCGAGGUGGAGCCAAUCCCUUAAAGCCGAUCGUAGUCCGGAUCGUAGUCUGCAACUCGACUACGUGAAGUCGGAAUCGCUAGUAAUCGCGGAUCAGCACGCCGCGGUGAAUACGUUCCCGGGCCUU
rnacentral:rRNA from 1 species